AAUGAAAACAUGAUAACAACAGUGUAAUAGCAAGGUGAAAACAGGAUGAACAACAAUAAACAAAAUCAAGAACAAAUACUGAAUACUGAAUAGAUAAAGAGAAAUUCGGAUUACAAAAGGUCAAGAACACAGUGUCUACGGAAUAAAACUUAGAAAAAACUUGUUCUCGAAAAUGUAAAGUACAUGCUACUUAUAGCAAAAUAUUCUGAAACCCUAAUACACAAAAUGACGCAGUAUUGGGACGGAUUAAAAACUGUACUCGACCCAGGUGGUCGAGUGAGAGGUCGAGUGAUAAGCUGGAAUCUUCUUUUCUUCCUUGUGCUCGAGUGUCUGGUUGAGAGCGGAAUGGAGAAGACUCUAAAGCUCGACAUCGAGUAUGUAGUUGAGUGGUGGUGAUGGUGAUACUCGACUUCCAGGUAGAGUGGUGUGAUCAAGUGAUGGUCAGGUGGUGGAGGUGAACACAGUCGACCUGGCGGUCGAGUGAAUUGAUCGAGUGACUCUUGUGGGGGUACUCGGCCAGGGGGUCGAGUGAUGAGGUGAAGUGGUGAAGUCCUAUACUCGACCAGGUGGUCGAGUGGUGUGUUGAGGUCGUGAAGCGUCUACUCGACCUGGA
rnacentral:sRNA from 1 species